rnacentral:lncRNA from 1 species
GUGAAGACUUUUAAAAUAGAGACCAACGUGGCCGGGCAGGAAGAGCAGGGUCCCGCCUUCAGGUGUUUGGGACUCAGCUGAGGGUGUGGGUGCCCCGCGGUGGGGGCUGAACCUUCCUGGGGUGUGGAGAGACGAAAGGAGCCCAGAUCCAAGUUCCCUCGUUCCCGCUUUGGCAUAAGUUGCCCUGGCGGUCUCAUGAGAGAGAGAAAGAGCUGGGACCCUCCUCGCCCCAGUGAGUGUGAUGUCUUGCUCCGGGUGUCCUGGGGCAACUUUCUAUACAGGCGGGACGUGGGAGGAUCAGACAGUGUAACAUCAGACAAGGGUGUUGACUCUGCAGCACAGAACCAGUAGUUUGUGGAGAAGAAUGGAGGUGUGGUGUUGAAUCUGCUAGACAGGCUACUGAAGCAAAAGUCAAGAGAUCCAGAUUCCAUCAUGGGGACACUUUAGUUCUUCAUCGGGUAAUUGAGCUGAUAUCAGGUGUCUGAAGGAGGCAAGUUUUGAAGAUGUGGGUCAUGAUGGCUGCUGAAGCUUCCACUCCAUAUUUGAAGGUCAGCAGUUCUCAGGAAACCUCUAGCACUUCCAUCCCUGGUGGGAUGUGAUGCCUGUCUCAGUGUAACAUCAGAGAAGGGGUGUACUCUGUGCCCUAGAACUAGGAGCUAACAGAGAAAAACCAAAUGUGAUGUGGAGUCUGCUAGACAGGCUACUGGAGCAAGAGUGAAGCGAUGAAAGUCUCAUCAUUGGGACAUAUUAGUGUGACAUGCAUAAAGGAAUUUCUUAUUGAGCCCCAGGAAGAAGAAACACUACAUAAGAGCAAAUAAUAAAAUCGGUCAGAUAGACAGAAGAUGGGAGUCAUCAAACCUGUAUCCCUCUUGCCAGACCUAUCAACUGACCAUACGUCAUUCAGGAGGCAGCAGGUGGCUGAAAUCCUGGUGUGAUGUGGCUGGAUCAUGCAUGAUCUGAGGACUCCUGCACAGGUGACUGCAGGAUGAGUACAGAAUUUUUCUAUAAAUAUACUAAAAUACCAAGUAAGCCAGGAGCAGCCACUAGGCAAACACCAAACCUUGCAUUCCUGGCCAAACCUAUCACAGAGCUCAUCAGGUAAGUUCAAAGACACACCUGUCUUCCCAGCAUUGGGAACUGGAUUGGGGUCUACUCAGAGGCAUGAUGUUGACCAGAUUUUAUGAAACACCCAAGAAUGUAGAGAACAUUCUGUCUUUAAAACCUUGAAUUCAAAACAUAUCAGAGAGAGAUUUACUUCCCUUAUAUGGAUGUCUGUGUUCUCAUUAGGAGAGAAACAAUGAAAAAUGACUUUUCACAAUGCCUGCCUUAGCCGUGAGGCUCAGCCAACCCCCACUUCUAUGUCUCAGCAUUUAAAGGGCAAUUGAAGUCCCACUCCAUGCUAUAUACUCUCAAGAGGUUUUCUCAUUUACCCUUCAGAACAGCUCUGUAAAGAUGGUAUGGUCAGUCCCAUUUCACAGAUGACUAAGCUCAGGCUCACAGAGCCUAAGUCACCCCUCCAGGUAAGUGGCAGGGUUGGAAUGAGGUUCUAUUCCUCACCCUCCCUAGAGAACCCUGAGCAGCUUCCGUUUUAGAAGAUGGGUUUCCAGGGCUUGAGAAAUGGUCAGAUUCCCCCCUGAUAUUGUGGCCCCACAGGUCCUCACUCCACAACCCCUCUGGGUGAUGAGGAAGACAGAAGAGGUGAAAUCCUGCGCUUUGUGCCAUGAGAUCUGGGUGUAGGGCCACAGGAGUUAGCUAAUCCUUGAAGUGGUGAGUGGGCUCAGGCAGAAGCUCAAGUGUUGGCCUUGGGACAG